rnacentral:piRNA from 1 species
GCUUAUGAAGCGCCUCAGGCUGUGUCUGU